UACGUAGGGUGCAAGCGUUGUCCGGAAUUAUUGGGCGUAAAGAGCUCGUAGGCGGUUUGUCGCGUCUGCUGUGAAAACUCGGGGCUUAACUCCGGCCUGCAGUGGGUACGGGCAGACUAGAGUGCGGUAGGGGAGACUGGAAUUCCUGGUGUAGCGGUGAAAUGCGCAGAUAUCAGGAGGAACACCGGUGGCGAAGGCGGGUCUCUGGCCGUAACUGACGCUGAGGAGCGAAAGCGUGGGAGCGAACAGG
rnacentral:rRNA from 1 species